AGAAAAACUACGUGAAAGUAGAGAAGAAGCAAGCCAUGUGCUCCCGAAGUAACAGCUUCCCCACAGGCAAUGGGAAUGGAGAGACGUCUGGAAGGCAGUCUGCACUCCGAGGCUUUGUCUUGUUCUUCAAGCCUCUCAGCCCUCAACUCCCUCUUCAUCGGCCUUGGAUUCCGAGUCCAGUGGAGAACAGAGCGGCCUGUGAGGACCCUGCAGACUGCUUAGGAGACAGCCCUGCUGGUCGUGGCCAGGAACCUGGAGAGAGGCGACAGUGAAGACACUAGGAGGAGAGGCAAGUUUUGCUGUAGAUGGAGUUUAGAGGCCAUGUUGGACAGCAAUCGUGGAAGCUGAAGAAGCAUGCCCCACUUCUCAGGACAGGGAAGAAGAACCUCUCUAUCACCACACAGAUGGGAAGAAAGUCGGAAGCUGUGCUUAGACGUGACCCCAAAUUUCAUGCAUGAAAAAUGGUAAUCCUCAAACCACAUGCUAGUGGUAUUGGACAAGUGAGACCCUUUGGGAGAGGAUGGGUAUUAAAUGGCCUGUGGACUAAUGAGUUCACACGUUGCUGUGGGAGGGAAUUCCUCAGUUGUAAAGGCCCCCUCUCCCUCUCCAUUCUGCUUCACAAAGAGGGGCUCUUUGGGGUUUCCAUGCAGCAAGAGGUCACGAUCAGAUACCAGCGGCACCACGAAUUCUGACACCGCCCAUUAAUGGAAAUGGACUAUGGCACCCUGUUCUGAGGUCUCUGGAUGUUUCUGCGACCAGUCCCUGUGUAGGUACCAGAACAAACUGGGCGUCCGCCACCAAUGCUCAGCAGCAGCUGUGUCUGAACGAGGAUGAUGAUGUAGCUGUUUCCACAUUCCACAUCCCGCACCACCUUCCGGUCUGGAGCCAGUGUCUUUGCAUCUUACUGCGCAGACUGCUGGAGGAGAAAAACCAGAUAUGGAAACCAUCUACUUAGACUGUCAUUCCAUGCUCAAGACUACAGUGCACAAUCAUUCACAUCAGAAAUGGAGCUGGUCCCUGCCCUGUAGCAGCCUUCACCGUGACUCCUUGCUGCUAAGAACCCAGGCAUCAUAACACAAAGAAGCAACUGGAGGCCACUCAGCUUUCAAUAAGAACAAACUGGUGGGGAAGGAGGUCAGAAAACAUUGAAAGAACCAUCUUCCUUCUCUUAUAGUUCACUAAUAGAUGAAAUUAUAGA
rnacentral:sRNA from 1 species